UCCAGUUUAUCACUGGCAGUCUCCUUUGAGUUCCCGGCCGAACCGCUGGCAACAAAGGAUAAGGGUUGCGCUCGUUGCGGGACUUAACCCAACAUUUCACAACACGAGCUGACGACAGCCAUGCAGCACCUGUCUCACAGUUCCCGAAGGCACCAAUCCAUCUCUGGAAAGUUCUGUGGAUGUCAAGACCAGGUAAGGUUCUUCGCGUUGCAUCGAAUUAAACCACAUGCUCCACCGCUUGUGCGGGCCCCCGUCAAUUCAUUUGAGUUUUAACCUUGCGGCCGUACUCCCCAGGCGGUCGAUUUAACGCGUUAGCUCCGGAAGCCACGCCUCAAGGGCACAACCUCCAAAUCGACAUCGUUUACGGCGUGGACUAC
rnacentral:misc_RNA from 1 species